rnacentral:rRNA from 1 species
GACGAACGCUGGCGGCGUGCCUAAUACAUGCAAGUAGAACGCUGAAGGAGGAGCUUGCUUCUCUGGAUGAGUUGCGAACGGGUGAGUAACGCGUAGGUAACCUGCCUGGUAGCGGGGGAUAACUAUUGGAAACGAUAGCUAAUACCGCAUAAGAGUAGAUGUUGCAUGACAUUUGCUUAAAAGGUGCAAUUGCAUCACUACCAGAUGGACCUGCGUUGUAUUAGCUAGUUGGUGGGGUAACGGCUCACCAAGGCGACGAUACAUAGCCGACCUGAGAGGGUGAUCGGCCACACUGGGACUGAGACACGGCCCAGACUCCUACGGGAGGCAGCAGUAGGGAAUCUUCGGCAAUGGACGGAAGUCUGACCGAGCAACGCCGCGUGAGUGAAGAAGGUUUUCGGAUCGUAAAGCUCUGUUGUAAGAGAAGAACGAGUGUGAGAGUGGAAAGUUCACACUGUGACGGUAUCCUACCAGAAAGGGACGGCUAACUACGUG